CCUACGGGAGGCAGCAGUGGGGAAUAUUGCGCAAUGGGCGUAAGCCUGACGCAGCGACGCCGCGUGAGGGAUGAAGGUCUUCGGAUCGUAAAGCUCUGUCAGCAGGGAAGAACGGUCACUGUGCUAAUCAGCAUUGUAUUUACGGUACCUGCAAAGGAAGCACCGGCUAACUCCAGGCCAGCAGCCGCGGUAAUACGGAGGGUGCGAGCGUUAAUCGGAAUUACUGGGCGUAAAGCGCUCGUAGGCGGUAUGUCAAGUCAAGGGUGAAAUCCCAGAGCUCAACGUUGGAAAUGCCUUUGAAACUGGAAAACUGGAGUGUGUGAGAGGAUAGUGGAAUUCCAGGUGUAGGAGUGAAAUGCGUAGAUAUCUGGAGGAACAUCAGUGGCGAAGGCGACUAUCUGGCACAUAACUGACGCUGAGGAGCGAAAGCGUGGGUAGCAAACAGGAUUAGAUACCCCAGUAGUC
rnacentral:rRNA from 1 species